GAUUGACACCCUCCAUCCGGAAAUACUUGUCUUAUAAAUGGUUGUAGCUAGACUUAUUUUAGUUAUAGAUACAUCCAUUUAUAUCCAUUCUAAGAACAAGUAUUUUCGAAAGAAGGGAGUAUGUG
rnacentral:pre_miRNA from 1 species